rnacentral:rRNA from 1 species
UACGAAGGGGGCUAGCGUUACUCGGAUUGACUGGGCGUAAAGGGCGCGUAGGCGGAUGGUACAGUCAGACGUGAAAUUCCUGGGCUCAACCUGGGGGGCUGCGUUUGAUACGUGCUGUCUGGAGUUCGGAAGAGGGUCGUGGAAUUCCCAGUGUAGAGGUGAAAUUCGUAGAUAUUGGGAAGAACACCGGUGGCGAAGGCGGCGACCUGGUCCGAUACUGACGCUGAGGCGCGAAAGCGUGGGGAGCAAACAGG